CGCUGGCGGCGUGCUUAACACAUGCAAGUCGAGCGAAGCGGUUUCAAUGAAGUUUUCGGAUGGAUUUGAGAUUGACUUAGCGGCGGACGGGUGAGUAACGCGUGGGUAACCUGCCUUACACUGGGGGAUAACAGUUAGAAAUGACUGCUAAUACCGCAUAAGCGCACAGGGCCGCAUGGUCUGGUGUGAAAAACUCCGGUGGUGUAAGAUGGACCCGCGUCUGAUUAGGUAGUUGGCGGGGUAACGGCCCACCAAGCCGACGAUCAGUAGCCGACCUGAGAGGGUGACCGGCCACAUUGGGACUGAGACACGGCCCAAACUCCUACGGGAGGCAGCAGUGGGGAAUAUUGGACAAUGGGCGAAAGCCUGAUCCAGCGACGCCGCGUGAGUGAAGAAGUAUUUCGGUAUGUAAAGCUCUAUCAGCAGGGAAGAAAAUGACGGUACCUGACUAAGAAGCCCCGGCUAACUACGUGCCAGCAGCCGCGGUAAUACGUAGGGGGCAAGCGUUAUCCGGAUUUACUGGGUGUAAAGGGAGCGUAGACGGUUUAGCAAGUCUGAAGUGAAAGCCCGGGGCUCAACCCCGGUACUGCUUUGGAAACUGUUAGACUUGAGUGCAGGAGAGGUAAGUGGAAUUCCUAGUGUAGCGGUGAAAUGUGUAGAUAUUAGGAGGAACACCAGUGGCGAAGGCGGCUUACUGGACUGUAACUGACGUUGAGGCUCGAAAGCGUGGGGAGCAAACAGGCUCAGAUACCCUGGUAGUCCACGCCGUAUAAGAUGAAAACGAGGUGUCGGGGGGGCAAAGCCCUUCGGUGCCGCCGCAAACGCCAAUAAGUAUUCCCCCUGGGGAGUACGUUCGCAAGAAUGAAAACUCAAAGGAAUUGACGGGGACCCGCACAAGCGGUGGAGCAUGUGGUUUAAUUCGAAGCAACGCGAAGAACCUUACCAAGUCUUGACAUCCCACUGAAAAUCACUUAACCGUGAUCCCUCUUCGGAGCAGUGGAGACAGGUGGUGCAUGGUUGUCGUCAGCUCGUGUCGUGAGAUGUUGGGUUAAGUCCCGCAACGAGCGCAACCCUUAUCCUUAGUAGCCAGCGAGUAGAGUCGGGCACUCUGGGGAGACUGCCAGGGAUAACCUGGAGGAAGGUGGGGAUGACGUCAAAUCAUCAUGCCCCUUAUGAUUUGGGCUACACACGUGCUACAAUGGCGUAAACAAAGGGAGGCAAAGGAGCGAUCCGGAGCAAACCCCAAAAAUAACGUCUCAGUUCGGAUUGCAGGCUGCAACUCGCCUGCAUGAAGCUGGAAUCGCUAGUAAUCGCGAAUCAGAAUGUCGCGGUGAAUACGUUCCCGGGUCUUG
rnacentral:rRNA from 1 species